AACUUGUGACAACGGGUCACUUGGCUCUCGCAUCGAUUAAGAACGCAGCGAAAUGCGAUAAGUAAUGUGAAUUGCAGAUUUUCAGUGAAUCAUCGAAUCUUUGAACGCACCUUGCGCUCCUUGGUAUUCCGAGGAGCAUGCCUGUUUGAGUGUCAUUAAAUUCUCAACCCCACCGAUUUGCUUCGGGGGGAUUGGACUUGGAGCGUGCUGGCGAAGGUCGGCUCCUCUUUAAAUGCAUCAGUGGAGAGAAACUCGCCCCAGUGUGAUAAUCCUGUUGCGCUGUGGUGGGUGAAAGUCUGCUUCCAACCGUCCUCCGGGACAUACACCAUCUCAUUUUGACCUCAAAUCAGGUAGGACUACCCGCUGAACUUAAGCAUAUCAAUAAGCGGAGGCU
rnacentral:misc_RNA from 1 species